rnacentral:rRNA from 1 species
UACAGAGGUCUCAAGCGUUGUUCGGAUUCAUUGGGCGUAAAGGGUGCGUAGGCGGCGCGGUAAGUCGGGUGUGAAAUUUCGAGGCUUAACUUCGAAACUGCAUUCGAUACUGCCGUGCUUGAGGACUGGAGAGGAGACUGGAAUUUACGGUGUAGCGGUGAAAUGCGUAGAUAUCGUAAGGAAGACCAGUGGCGAAGGCGGCCCCCUGGGCCGGGCCUGACGCUGAGACGCGAAAGCGCGGGGAGCGAACGGG